rnacentral:rRNA from 1 species
UACAUGGGGGUGCAAACGUUGCUCGGAAUUAUUGGGCGUAAAGCGCACGUAGGCGGUUCGUUAAGUCGGAUGUGAAAGCCCUCGGCUCAACUGAGGAAGUGCACCCGAAACUGGCGAGCUUGAGUACGAAAGAGGAUCGCGGAAUUCCCGGUGUAGAGGUGAAAUUCGUAGAUAUCGGGAGGAACACCGGGUGGCGAAGGCGGCGAUCUGGGUCGAUACUGACGCGUGAGGUGGCGAAAGCGUGGGGAGCAAACAGG